UAACUAGAGCAGUAGUCAAUAGUCAUUGAAAAGAAGUAAAUGAAGAUCGACGUGUUUGUGAAUGACGAAGUUUCAAUAACGCCAUCACACUAACUUUGUGGGUUUAAUUCAUCUUUCAGCAUUCAACCACCAUUGUCACACCCGUCGUUUGGCGCGGUUGACUGGAGCCUUAUAUAUGAUCAUUGAGAUUAAGAAGAAGGAAGAAAACCCCUAAUUAGAACCGCCGAUGUCGCUCCACAUCCCCUCGAUUCAUCAUUGUCACCACCAUCGGCAGUGAAAGAUGCGAGCAGGCUAUGGUCGUUCUCUAUCUGAGUCCCUCUUUCCCCUGAUUUUGGCCCAUGAUGUUAGUGGUGAAAUUGCAGCAAUUGGACAAUCUGUACAAACACUUAAUGUUGGGCAAUAAAUUUUUGGGGCACUUCAUCCAACAGCUACGAGAGGAUGCAAAUGCAAUUCCUUUUGCUGCCCUAACAACAUGACGUGCUCUUAAAUCUACUGCCAGGAUAAGUAAAGGUGACACGAUAAUUGCAGCCAUAGAUCUGAUUAAGGACCGUGGAGUUGACAACCAACAUAUCAAAGUGGUUUACCUUCUUUAUUGUAGAUCCAAUGAUAGCAAUAGAAUGGUGGAUUAGAUCAAAGGCUAUUACUUUGUGAAAUUUGGAGAUGAGAGUGAUAAAGUACUUGCCAUAAGUGAAAUGAAUGGAGGAUUUUGUUAAACCAAACCAGUGUAAAUUAGACCAUCUACUAACAAAACAAAUGUUAUAUUACAUAGUCUAAUCUUAUAGUACUAAGAGAGUGCCCUGUAUAUGUUUUCUAAUGAAGACAUAUUUGUCUAUGUGAAAGUCUUUUAUUUAUGCAUGUAAUUUUGUGUAAAAUACGUGUUGCUUCUCUUUUUUCUUUUCAUUUCCACUAUGUAAGGUUUGACAUGGAAUAACAAAUGUAAAUGGUCUA